AUUGAACGAUGGCGGCAGGCUUAACACAUGCAAGUCGAACGAGUGGCGGACGGGUGAGUAAUGCUUGGGAAUCUAGCUUAUGGAGGGGGAUAAAUACGGGAAACUGUAGCUAAUACCGCGUACCAUAGGAUGAGCCCAAGUGUGAUUAGGUAGUUGGUGAGGUAAAUGCUCACCAAGCCGACGAUCCCUAGCUGGUCUGAGAGGAUGAUCAUCCACACUGGGACUGAGACACGACCCAUCCGCCUACGUGAUGCAUCAGUGGGGAAUAUUGCACAAUGGGCGCAAGCCUAAUGCAGCCAUGCCGCUUGUAUGAAGAAGGCCUUAGGGUUGUAAAGUACUUUCAGCGGGGAGUCGUUACCCGCAUAAGAAGCACCGGCUAACUCCGUGCCAGCAGCCGCGGUAAUAC
rnacentral:rRNA from 1 species